GACGAACGCUGGCGGCGUGCCUAAUACAUGCAAGUCGAGCGCAGGAAAUCGACGGAACCCUUCGGGGGGAAGUCGAUGGAAUGAGCGGCGGACGGGUGAGUAACACGUAAAGAACCUGCCCUCAGGUCUGGGAUAACCACGAGAAAUCGGGGCUAAUACCGGAUGGGUCAUCGGACCGCAUGGUCCGAGGAUGAAAGGCGCUUCGGCGUCGCCUGGGGAUGGCUUUGCGGUGCAUUAGCUAGUUGGUGGGGUAAUGGCCCACCAAGGCGACGGGGCAUAGCCGACCUGAGAGGGUGAUCGGCCACACUGGGACUGAGACACGGCCCAGACUCCUACGGGAGGCAGCAGUAGGGAAUCUUCCACAAUGGACGAGAGUCUGAUGGAGCAACGCCGCGUGAACGAUGAAGGCCUUCGGGUCGUAAAGUUCUGUUGUAAGGGAAGAACAAGUGCCGCAGGCAAUGGCGGCACCUUGACGGUACCUUGCGAGAAAGCCACGGCUAACUACGUGCCAGCCGCCGCCGUAACAC
rnacentral:rRNA from 1 species